rnacentral:rRNA from 1 species
AGUGAACGCUGGCGGUAGGCCUAACACAUGCAAGUCGAACGGCAGCACAGGAGAGCUUGCUCUCUGGGUGGCGAGUGGCGGACGGGUGAGGAAUACAUCGGAAUCUACUCUGUCGUGGGGGAUAACGUAGGGAAACUUACGCUAAUACCGCAUACGACCUACGGGUGAAAGCAGGGGACCUUCGUGCCUUGCGCGAUUGAAUGAGCUGAUGUCGGAUUAGCUAGGGGGAGGGGUAAAGGACCACCAAGGCGACGAUCCGUAGCUGGUCUGAGAGGAUGAUCAGCCACACUGGAACUGAGACACGGUCCAGACUCCUACGGGAGGCAGCAGUGGGGAAUAUUGGACAAUGGGCGCAAGCCUGAUCCAGCCAUACCGCGUGGGUGAAGAAGGCCUUCGGGUUGUAAAGCCCUUUUGUUGGGAAAGAAAUCCAGCUGGCUAAUACCCGGUUGGGAUGACGGUACCCAAAGAAUAAGCACCGGCUAACUUCGUGCCAGCAGCCGCCGUAA